ACUUUAUUUUACCCUAGUUUCAGCAUUUCCACACCAUUUUCAUCAUGUUGGUCACAUAGGAAAAAGACCGUGAUAGAAUAAUAGUAGAGAAUGUUAGUUUAACAACAAAGAAUGCACUCAAUAGUAUGGGAUUUUAGUUUAAAAUGACUAAAAUUCAUUGGCGAAGUUAUUUGGCCAAUAACUUCGCCAUGCAACCCAUUUCUGUUCAAGUCUGAAGUGUCAAGUGAAUGAUAAAAGCUUAUUCUUUCAAUGUUAUACUUCGGUUUUGGCCACAGAUCAAGUAAAUUAAUAGAUUAUAAUGUAGUAAUCUCACACAACCUUUUCUAAGUUUAAAUGGGAUGUCUGUAGGUUAUAAUAAAAAACACUUGUUGACUUUACAUGACUCAUAGCUCGAUGAACAUGACUCGAUAGUUAGAUGAAGUGACUUGAAUGCUCUGGUUAAGAUUAAGAUUGGUACUCCCAUUAUGACGCAUGUAUAUGAACUAUGUAAGCCUAUUGCAUGCUGUUACGAGCGAAAACAUAAAAAUGUACUCCUUCAUUUUAGUUAACCCAUUAAGCCAGCUCAGCCAAAUAGUUGCCAAACCAUAAGGGAAGUUACAAAUUGAAAUGCGUUGUUGGUUACAAAAGUUUAAAAUACCUUUAUGAUAACCCUGUUCCUUGAGGUACUGCAUCUAUCGAUAUAUUGAUGAUUUCGCAGAUGGAGCAGUUUUGACGAAUUUGAAGCCAUCUCUGAUUUCAGCAAGCGGAUUCGGUUCACGUCAUUUUAAUCAACAUUGAAACGGUCAUCGGUCAGAUAUGCUUCUUCAAACUAUCUUGUCACCUACAAAAGACAGAACGCAUAUUCCGCGAAGACGGAGAUUAGGAGCUGCAGCUAACAGCUGUACUGGUGGCUUUUGAUCUGUUAAAAGAUUUCCUUAAUCCUGAAAAUUGCCGGGAUACAAAGUCAAAAAUCUCAUCAUUGACGAAAAUUCCUUCCAUACCUAGGAACUCACUAUAUGAUGCCCAUUGAUGACGCACCAGCGAAAAACGUGUUUUACGUCGAGUGAGUGCCGUGUUUACCAAUGUUCUGAGCGCAAAGGUCACCGGCAGCCGUUUCCAAGCACAGUACAUAGUCACAUGUGUAACAUACCAGAGGAAUUAUUUGAAGUAACUAGCUGUGAAAAAAUUUAACGCUGUUAUACUCGGUUCAUAUGGUGAUACAUCUCUUUAAAAAAUUUGCAAAGCUCCACUAGUUUACCUACGGUAAUGCACUCCAAAUUGUUUCCACUGGCAAGGAUGGCCGACAUUCAGUUUUGUAAUGCUCCCGUACUUUCUAUACUUGUUUGACUUUCAC